rnacentral:rRNA from 1 species
CCUGAGAAACCCAAAAGAUCGAAUGGGGAGAUUCAGCGUCAGCGGAGUUGGCUUGCGUGUGACUCGCGAUGCUCGGGGCCUCGGCCUCGCGGCACGCGGUCGCUGCGUCAUGUCCGGCUCCGUCGGCGUGCACUUCUCCCCUAGUAGGACGUCGCGACCCGUUGGGUGCCGGCCUACGGCCCGAAUGGUCGACUGUCUCGAGCGCGUUCACGCGCGCACGAGGCAGACCUUCGGUUGCCCGGCCGGCUGCCCGGCGGUAUCGAACGCUUUGAACGGUUAAAGAGCCGCACACUAUUGCAGCGUGCGUUCUUGGCUCGCCUUGCAGGCUCGUCUCGCUCGGAUUUACGGACCUAGCGCCGUUGCCGGGUGCUUGACGUGGCCUUUAGCAAGCGAUGUCCUCGGACGGGCUCUUCUUUACCAGUCGGCGACGCUUUUGCUUUGGGUACUUUC